CCUACGGGAGGCAGCAGUCGAGAAUCAUUCACAAUGGGGGAAACCCUGAUGGUGCGACGCCGCGUGGGGGAAUGAAGGUCUUCGGAUUGUAAACCCCUGUCAUGUGGGAGCAAAUUAGAAAGAUAGUACCACAAGAGGAAGAGACGGCUAACUCUGUGCCAGCAGCCGCGGUAAUACAGAGGUCUCAAGCGUUGUUCGGAAUCACUGGGCGUAAAGCGUGCGUAGGCUGUUUCGUAAGUCGUGUGUGAACGGCGGGGGCUCAACCCGCGGACGGCACAUGAUACUGCGAGACUAGAGUAAUGGAGGGGGAACCGGAAUUCUCGGUGUAGCAGUGAAAUGCGUAGAUAUCGAGAGGAACACUCGUGGCGAAGGCGGGUUCCUGGACAUUAACUGACGCUGAGGCACGAAGGCCAGGGGAGCGAAAGGGAUUAGAUACCCUUGUAGUC
rnacentral:rRNA from 1 species